AGAGUCCUGAUGUGUUCGUUGGUAAUCCUGAAGUUUUGACCGAACAACAAUAACUUCGGGAGCCUGGCGUUUCUGGGCUGAGUAAAUGCCUCCUUGAAGAGGACUUACAUAAGUCCGGAACAAGGCACCCACCUGCGGAGAGCGGGUUCAAAACGAAGGCAUCAAAACGACGGCACGAUUGGGACUCUA
rnacentral:other from 1 species